rnacentral:rRNA from 1 species
AUUGAACGCUGGCGGCAUGCCUUACACAUGCAAGUCGAACGGUAACAGGUCUUCGGAUGCUGACGAGUGGCGAACGGGUGAGUAAUGCAUCGGAACGUGCCCAGUAGUGGGGGAUAGCCCGGCGAAAGCCGGAUUAAUACCGCAUACGACCUGAGGGUGAAAGGGGGGGAUCGCAAGACCUCCCGCUAUUGGAGCGGCCGAUGUCAGAUUAGCUAGUUGGUGGGGUAAAGGCCUACCAAGGCAACGAUCUGUAGUUGGUCUGAGAGGACGACCAGCCACACUGGGACUGAGACACGGCCCAGACUCCUACGGGAGGCAGCAGUGGGGAAUUUUGGAAAAUGGGCGCAAGCCUGAUCCAGCAAUGCCGCGUGCAGGAAGAAGGCCUUCGGGUUGUAAACUGCUUUUGUCAGGGAAGAAAUCUUCUGGGUUAAUACCUCGGGAGGAUGACGGUACCUGAAGAAUAAGCACCGGCUAACUACGUGCCAGCCGCCGCUGUAACAC